rnacentral:rRNA from 1 species
UACGAAGGGGGCUAGCGUUGUUCGGAUUUACUGGGCGUAAAGCGCACGUAGGCGGAUCGUUAAGUCGGGGGUGAAAUCCUGGAGCUCGAACAUCCAGAACUGCCUUCAGAUACUGGCGAUCUUGAGUCCGGAAGAGGUGAGUGGAACUCCUAGUGUAGAGGUGGAAUUCGUAGAUAUUAGGAAGAACACCAGUGGCGAAGGCGGCU